rfam:Aedes aegypti strain Liverpool supercont1.335 genomic scaffold, whole genome shotgun sequence.
GGCUCGGUAGCUUAGUUGGUAAAGCACUCGUCUAGCAUAUAAGAGUCCUGGGUUCCAAUCCCAGCCGAGCAC